rnacentral:lncRNA from 1 species
UGACAUGUGCUGUAAAUUUGAAAAAGGUUUCAAAGUGGACAGUGGGAGUGAGAAUGCAAACACAAGGAAAAGGUUGCAUAAGAAGGAGGCAAAGAAAUCCAAAGGAACAUGCUUUCAUUGUGGAAAGGAUGAACGUUGGAAGAAGAAAUACAGGGUGCGCAUUGCGAGCCUUAUGACACGAAAUUUUGAAGAGACUAUUUCUGUCAUAGAGAGUGCUUUUACAGUGAGGUCCAAUUCCUGGAUAUUUGAUUCAGGCGCUAGUCAACAUAUCUGUAAUAUGAUGCAGGGACUAGCGGGGAGCAAAUCACUGCGUAAUGGGGAGAUGGUUGUGCGAGUUGGGAACGGCACUAAAAUCUCUGCAAAAGCAAUAGGCACCUACUGAUGUACACACUUUGUGUACAUUUAUAUCAUCUUUAAUUGGCAUUUUUGUGAUGUUUUUGAAUCAAACUAGUUGUGUUUUUACAUUAUUUUGUGCUAGUGUGCAGCCAAGUGUGUUUUAGGAUCAAUUGGAUUGCAAAUGAAGUAAAAUCACCCCUUUUUGGUAGCUGAGCAUUAUCCCAAACGUGGAGAAGGUUCUUGAGGAGUCAAUUUGAAGUUUCAAAUGAGGAUUUUAGAAGUUACUUGGCUGCAUGGAAUUUCAGGAUCACAUUUGGAAGUGUAAGGUGGCAUUCGGCCAUAUUGGGUGAGACAAGACAAGGCAAAAACAUUGGAAUUAACUUAGGUGGUUCCAAAACAUGCAAUCACAUGCAUGUUCACAAUUUGUGCCGUGCCUUCCAUUUCCUUUAAACAUCAAAACAUGCAAUCACAUGCAUGUGUUCAAACCUGCCGUGCUUUCCCUUCCAUUUACACCUCAACAACAUGUGAUUACAUGCAUGUUCACACCUUGCCGUGCAUUGCCUUACCCUUUCCAACUCCCUUUUGCAGCAAUGCAUGUGUCUUCAUUAAUCUAAGUCAUUCAGCCACCUUUGCACAUCCAAACCAAGCCAUGCCGUGCCUUUCUUUCCCUUUCCAGCAUGUGGAAAACAAUUUCUGGUUGUCCACUGCACAUUGCAGCCAUUGCACAUGCCUCUUGAAUUAAAUAAGUCCUACACAUGCUUGUGUUUCAACAUGCCGUGCCUUACCACCUCAGAAAUCACUUCAAUUCAUCAUCAUUUCAGAUUGGCAGAUCCAUUACUCUAAUUCCAGCUGCAUGUUCUCAUUAGGACUUCAAUUUAAAGUCCAUGCAAUCUCACUUCAAGCUCUCUCGGUUACACUCUCAUUCACACACCAAGAAACUCCAUUUUGUGUCCAUUCUCUAUCCCAUCCGCAACACCACCAUUCACUCACUUAGCCAUCCAAAUUUCUGACCACCCUCUCUCCCAUUCAAACAAACCACCCAUCCACAAGCUGCUCAUCUUUCAUGUUGCAUCACAUUUGGAGAAUCAAGACCGAAGGCUACACUUAAAGGAUUUCAACAUCAGUUUUGCUUCAAGGGUUCCUUCUUCUCAAUUCUAUGUUCAUUCAUGUUAUGUAUUUCUAUGUUAAAACGUUUGUAAACAUGAAAUGUAACUAAUCUCCUCUUAGGGAUUCGAUGUAGCCUAGCAAGAAAACCAUGUAGUUAACUCAUAAUGCUCAUUUGAUCCUUCUAUUUCUUGUUUCAUUCUCUGAUUUUAUUGUGAAUUUGUGUGUUGAUUUUAAUGCUUGAUCACCACUUGAAUUAACCACAGGUUGUGUAGCCAAAAUUAGAAGCACACAUCAUGCAUAAUUUUGGCAGAUUUGGGAGUGAAUGAAGGGGAUGUUUGGCAAACAUCAUGCCGUGUGUCCCCUUUGGUUUUGUGAAAGUUUCAUAUGUAUAAAACAUCCUUGGUUGAGAACCAAAGUUGCACAUCACAAUUUGGUUCUUGACUAGGAUGAUUUGAUCAAAUCCACACAUCAUAUGGUUGAUCAUAUCUAAGUGAAACAAACUCAAGAAAUAGGUGAAUGAAUGAGCAUAAACUGAUUUAACAAACAUGGGAUUAAUUUAGCUAUGGUGAAACCGAAUCCCUAGUUCCAUCUCCAUUGGUUUAUUCCAUUUUAUUACUUGUUGAUUCAUUACUUGUGUUGUCAUCAUUCUUGUGAGUUUUUAAGUUACAACAACAAAUCUGUCUAAAGUUGCCUAGUUUAGUCAUUUAAUAUGGUUCUUGCAAAACAAGUGAUUAUAUAGGUCCAAUUAGUCCCUGUGGAUUCGACACCCUUACUUGUGCUAUUAUACUCAAUAUGUUUUAGCAUUAGGAAGGUUUAAAACAUAUCAUCAACACCUACAUGCUUAACCUACCCUCUGGGGAAGUCCUGGAACUUAAAAAUUGUUUAUAUUUUCCUUCAUGUAUAAAGAAUUUGAUUUCCAUCUCUAAGCUUUUACGAGAUGGGCACUCAAUAUUGUUUAACAAAAUGAGUUGCACUUUAUACUUGAACGGUCGUAUUAUCUCUCAUGGUAAUAUGAUAGAGGGACUUUUUCACUUAGAGACGAAUAGUGGGAUGCACUGUAUUGCAAGCGGGAAUACCUCAAAAUCCAAAAGGGCUAGAGAAGAAGUUAACCAAGAAAAGAUGUGGCAUCUUAAACUUGGACAUGUGAACCUUGAUAAGAUUCACAAGAUGUCGAAAGACGGAUAUAUCCGCCCAUUAGGUAAUGACCAGAUGGGUACUUGUGAAUGUUGCUUGAAAGGGAAGAUGACCAAAUCUCCAUUUAUUGGAAAAGAAGAGCGUGCCACUGAAAUUCUAGGGUUAAUCCACACUGACAUAUGUGGACCUAUGUCUACUACGUCGAGAAGAGGCUUCUCCUACUAUAUCACAUUCACCGACGAUCACUCUCGGUUUGGCUAUGUGUAUCUUAUGAAGUACAAG